CGUGGCUGCGCUCAUUCGGGGCGGGGCCGCGCAGGACGCGCGCAGCCUAGCUUCGUGAGGCCUGAGCAACGGUUGCUGACGUGAGUCUGCGGUGACUGGAGCCGGAGCUGCAGGACUUUGGGACUGCGCCUCACUCGUCCAUCAUGAUUGCAAGUUUCCUGAAGCCUCCCCAGAAGCCAAGCAGAUACCAGCUUCAUGCUUCCUGUCCAACCUACAGAAUUACAGAGCCUUAUACUGAAACAUCACUUCUCAUUUACUGUUUGGACAACGGUGUUGGAACUGCUGCUUUAUUGCCUACGGAGAAGCAAAGUGAAGAGUCUAAAGUGGCUCUUGCAGUUACACUGGACAAAAGAAGUUUGAUACUCAGACUUGGUCCUGAAGAACACAUAGAGAAGGCUGACAGAUUAUAUAUAUUCACAGCUUUGGCCUAAAGGUGGCUGGUCGACCAAUAAGUAAUACAAGAAGAAAUGGUCUUUUCUGGAAUUGUACUAUUUUCCAGAUGAAUCUGACUGUUAACCUGAUAUGUGCAAAUGUUGAACAAAAUACAUCUGGAACUUCCCUGACGCUCAAUGAAUCUAGAAAGUAGAAGUGAGAAGCUUAAUUCUAGUUGAUAUUUGCCAGUAGAGCAGGAGCUUACAAAGGAAUGAGCAAGAGGGAAGAUGCUGGUCUCACUUAAAAUGGACUGCAGUACCUCCUCUGCUUGAAAUUCAGAGAAGCCAAGGACAUAUCCUGCACUUCCUGGCCAUGUUCCUUUGUUGAAGAGGCACAUUCAGAAUGUCUGGAGAGCACAGCACCAGCAUAAGGUGAGCACUCAUCUUACCAUUAUUAAAAACAAAAUUUUAAGUAGUUAAUUUGAUCAACCUAUGUUUUAUGACUU